UACGUAGGGUGCGAGCGUUGUCCGGAAUUACUGGGCGUAAAGAGCUCGUAGGUGGUUUGUCGCGUUGUCCGUGAAAACUCACAACUCAAUUGUGGGCGUGCGGGCGAUACGGCAGACUGGAGUACUGCAGGGGAGACUGGAAUUCCUGGUGUAGCGGUGGAAUGCGCAGAUAUCAGGAGGAACACCGGUGGCGAAGGCGGGUCUCGUGGGCAGUAACUGACGCUGAGGAGCGAAAGCGUGGGGAGCGAACAGG
rnacentral:rRNA from 1 species